UACGUAGGGGGCAAGCGUUGUCCGGAAUCAUUGGGCGUAAAGAGCGUGUAGGCGGCUCGAUAAGUCCGCUGUGAAAGUCCAGGGCUCAACCCUGGAAGGCCGGUGGAAACUGUCGGGCUAGAGUCCGGAAGAGGCGAGUGGAAUUCCCGGUGUAGCGGUGAAAUGCGCAGAUAUCAGGAGGAACACCUAUUGCGAAGGCAGCUCGCUGGGACGUAACUGACGCUGAGACGCGAAAGCGUGGGGAGCAAACAGG
rnacentral:rRNA from 1 species